AGAGAACUGAAAGUGGAGCCUGU
rnacentral:miRNA from 1 species